AGCCAUCCUUGGGAUACCACCCUUGUAGUACUGGGACUCUAACCAUAGGCCAUGAAUCUGGUCUUGGGACACUGUCAGGUGGGCAGCUUGACUGGGGCGGUCGCCUCCCAAAAGGUAACGGAGGCGCGCAAAGGUUCUCUCAGUACGGUCGGAAAUCGUACGUAGAGUGUAAAGGCAAAAGAGAGCUUGAUUGCAAGACAUACAGGUCGAGCAA
rnacentral:rRNA from 1 species